GUCCGAAAGUAAAACAAAAUGAAACCUAACCUCUCUCGAGCUCUCUUAGUCGCGAACCCCUCCCUUCUCUAUCUCUCUCUUCCCCGCGAAACCCCUCUUUCUCCUGAAACCUCUCUCAGUCUCUCGAUCUCCUUGCUUCUAUUCUUUAUCCCCCGAAAUCCAAAUCCUCUUCAGUGAUGGAGGAGAUAGAGUGUCCCAGAUCCACUUUCUCUCUCCUCUAUCUCUCUCUCCUCCUCAUCCAAGAUGCAGAAGAGGUUUUAGGUCGCGAACUCUUCUUUAGUCAAGGUUUAUUUCAAGUGCGGCGACUCCAUCGAUCACCCUCACAUUUGGCCCUUCCAGUUUUGGCAAGAGACAGAUAAAGCAGCUUAUCUUGUGAGACAAUACUUCUUGAAUAAUCUACAUGAGGAAGAAGAAGAAAGCAAUAGAGUAGAAUAAGAAAGAUGGCGAGGUACGAUAGGGCCAUUACAGUUUUUUCUCCCGACGACCAGCUCUUCCAGGUCGAGUACACCCUCGAAGCCGUGCGAAAGGGUAACGCCACCAUAGGCGUCUGUGGCACCGACACCAUCGUUCUCGGCGUCGAGAAGAAGUCCACCGCCAAGCUUGUCAGGACUCCAGGGAAUUAUAACCUAUACAUACUCAUAUAUAUCUUCCGCUUUUGCUGUGACAUGCGCUCAGAACUGGAGCCUGGAGCCUCAAGUUUGAAGCCUGAAGAGAGCAAAGCUAAAGUAGUCGUAAAAUGGAGAGUAGUGAAGGAGAAGAGGUUUCCUAUCAUUAAAGGCAUCACUCCCCAGUCCAAAGUUGACUCUUUUUACCAAUCCCACACCGAAAAGACUGUCCAGUGACUGAGGAUAUAAAUUUCAUCUGAUCAGGUUUGCUCCAUCCCCUGAUCCAUCACUAAGUAUCGAGUUUUAUGAUCAAACUCCAGAGCAACAAUCAGUCCUAGGGUAUGUUGUUGACUCAUCACAAACAGGACAUGCUCAUGAUGUAGCAUCAACAAAUCCAAUUGGUCCUGACCAGGAGCAUAGAGUACCUCAUGGUUCCAUUGGUGCAGCAGCUGGUCAUCGAGCCAUUGCUCAGAGUAAUGCUGAGGAAAUUUCUGAAGCUUUGUUUCAAUACUCUGCACCAUAGCAGGUGAUGAGUUCCCAUCAACAUGCGGAACUUGUACUGCAAAAUGUGAGACUCGAAUGUUUGUCACCCAUAUCCUUUGUGUCUUUUUACCCUUUCGAUUGUGAAAUAAGUUGCGAAAUUCUGAUGCUUGUGGUUACUGCAAUUCUGAGGUUUGUAUUGAUCUGCUUGUUCUCUCUCUCUCUCUCAUGCUUCAAUGGUAAUUGUUGCUCUCUUGUGCAGUUGUUUAAAAUCCAGUGAUUUCUUAUUCAAAGUAUCUGGUAUUGCCUUCUUCUUUUAUUUCCUUCUAUAAUGUUGAAUACUGAGUUUGUCAUCCGGAAUGGUUUUAGGGGUCUCUUCUAAGGUGUCCACUUACUGAUCAAACUCUCAAUGAGAAUUCAAGGUAUGUUUGUUCUCAUGGGAUGGGACUUAUAUCAGAUGAACUCUAUGGGGUACUUUUGCCUUCCAAUUUCUACUUCAUUAUUAAGAAUAUAAUUUCUUAAUAUGAUAUCAAAGGUUCAUUGACUUUUCAAAGUGAUACUCUGCGGUUUAAUGGAUGGAUUAUCUAGUAUAAGUACCAAUUGAUUAUGUUGUCUGCUUUUUCCAGGCAGCUAAUAAUGAGUAUAUUUCUAUGCAAGGAAUUAGUUUUCUAUGUAAGUUGUGUUAAUGCUGCUUGGGCUUUAUGCAAAUAACUAAGCUUAUUUUUAAUGAUGUUAAGGAAACAUUGGCAAUGUGUCGCUUAUUCUGAUUGCAGUUUUAUGUAGAGACUUAUCCAACCCUCUUUUGCUGACCGAACAACAUGUAGCACAGAUGGGACUGCCUGUAUUUCAUUUGGCCAGUGGGUAGGCAUUGUGCAUUUCACUCUUGAUCACCAGAGUUUGUAACUGAAAUAGCCAGUCUUGAUGCAACUUAUCAUAUACAUCUAGUGUUUUCUUGAUCCUAUUCAUUUUUUCCCUUAUCUUUUCUUGAUCCUAAACAUAUGAACUUAAUGAUUCGCACUGUUAUAUUUGAUAUUUUCUCUGCAUGUGUGCAGUAUAUAUGAGUAAGAUUUUAAUGUGCUUUGACUUCAUACUUACAAAAUCAUGCCACGCUUUUACAUACUGGUCUUGUCGAAUGUGAUGUUGUGCAUUAUUUUCUUAGACUUCGUCUUGACCACUUGCAUUUGGUUUACUCUAAUUGAUUCAAUGAAGACAUAAAAAUAAGGUCUUGUGCAUGCAUGUAUCUCGGAGAGGAUGCAAAAGCAUUAAAAAUAAGGUUUUCAGGUGUCUAAGAUCACGUUGGUAUUGUAAUGGAUCAUUUGCCAAAAGUUAAGAACUGGACCUAACUUUCUUUGUUUGUGUUUCUGCCAUGUUUUUUUUAUUUUUUUUUAUGCAGAAAUAUGAUGUUGACACAGCAGCAAAGGCAACUGUCCUUGGCAUCCAAGUUGGGUGUGGAUUCAGGCCUAAGAUUCCAUAUUGGAGAUGAAUCUAGAGCUAAUGCUGCACAAGAUAAUGAACUUUUCUAUCAGAAUCCUCAAGCAUAUGCUGCACAAGAUGGAAAUUGGAUUGCUCGUAUUGCAGCAUUGCUUGUGGGUGAGGAUCAAACACAAUCUUGUAUAGCUUAUGAAAUUGAAAGGCUUAGUUCAAUGAAAUGUUUAAAUGCUUAUAAAAUUGUAUAUAGUGAAUCGAUUGGAGUUUGUUUUGAUGUAUCAAAGUUACUUUUAGCAUUAA